rnacentral:rRNA from 1 species
CGCCAGACUCCUACGGGAGGCAGCAGUGGGGAAUAUUGCACAAUGGGCGAAAGCCUGAUGCAGCGACGCCGCGUGAGUGAAGAAGUAUUUCGGUAUGUAAAGCUCUAUCAGCAGGGAAGAAAAUGACGGUACCUGACUAAGAAGCACCGGCUAACUACGUGCCAGCAGCCGCGGUAAUACGUAGGGGGCAAGCGUUAUCCGGAUUUACUGGGUGUAAAGGGAGCGUAGACGGCGAAGCAAGUCUGAUGUGAAAGCCCGGGGCUCAACCCCGGGUCUGCAUUGGAAACUGUCGAGCUAGAGUGUCGGAGGGGUAAGUGGAAUUCCUAGUGUAGCGGUGAAAUGCGUAGAUAUUAGGAGGAACACCAGUGGCGAAGGCGGCUUACUGGACGAUGACUGACGCUGAAGCACGAGAGCGUGGGUAGCGAACAGGAUUAGAUACCCUUGUAC